rfam:Myotis davidii contig16783, whole genome shotgun sequence.
GGAGGUUCUCAGGUGACACACCCCAGAAUUGGGCUCCAUCCUCUCUGGUUCUGGAUGCAUCACUUGAGAAACACC